UGAGAUGGACCCGCGUCUGAUUAGCCAGUUGGCAGGGUAACGGCCUACCAAAGCGAGAAUCAGUAGCCGGCCUGAGAGGGUGAACGGCCACAUUGGGACUGAGACACGGCCCAAACUCUUACGGAAGGCAGCAGUGGGGAAUAUUGGGCAAUGGGCGCAAGCCUGACCCAGCAAUGCCGCGUGAAGGAAGAAGGCUUUCGGGUUGUAAACUUCUUUUAAGUGGGACGACAAUGACGGUACCACUCGAAUAAGCUCCGGCUAACUACGUGCCAGCAGCCGCGGUAAUACGUAGGGAGCGAGCGUUAUCCGGAUUUACUGGGUGUAAAGGGCGUGUAGGCGGGACUGCAAGUCAGAUGUGAAAGCACGAGGCUCAACUUCGUGUCUGCAUUUGAAACUGUAGUUCUUGAGUGCUGGAGAGGCUAACGGAACUCCUAGUGUAGCGGUGAAAUGCGUAGAUAUUAGGAAGAACACCAGUGGCGAAGGCGGUUAGCUGGACAGUAACUGACGCUGAGGCGCGAAAGCGUGGGUAGCAAACAGAAAAAGAUACCCUGGUAGUCCACGCAGUAAGCGAUCCCUACUAGGUGUGCGGGGACUGACCCCCUGCGUGCCGCAGCAAACGCAAUAAGUAUCCCACCUGGGGAGUACGAUCGCAAGGUUGAAACUCAAAGGAAUUGACGGGGGCCCGCACAAGCGGUGGAGCAUGUGGUUUAAUUCGAAGCAACGCGAAGAACCUUACCAGGUCUUGACAUCCCGCUGACCGGCUUAGAGAUAGGCUUUCCCUUCGGGGCAGCGGAGACAGGUGGUGCAUGGUUGUCGUCAGCUCGUGUCGUGAGAUGUUGGGUUAAGUCCCGCAACGAGCGCAACCCUUAUUGUUAGUUGCUACGCAAGAGCACUCUAGCGAGACUGCCGUUGACAAAACGGAGGAAGGUGGGGACGACGUCAAAUCAUCAUGCCCCUUAUGACCUGGGCCACACACGUGCUACAAUGGCGUAUAACAAAGGGAAGCAAUACCGCGAGGUGGAGCAAAUCCCGAAAAUACGUCCCAGUUCGGAUUGCAGGCUGCAACUCGCCUGUAUGAAGUUGGAAUCGCUAGUAAUCGCGGAUCAGAAUGCCGCGGUGAAUACGUUCCCGGGCCUUGUACACACCGCCCGUCA
rnacentral:rRNA from 1 species